rnacentral:rRNA from 1 species
UAUGUCUCGUUAAAGGGUGUAGAUAUAGGUUGUGUAGGUAAAACCGCACGACUUGUCGAACCUGAUAGUACAGCAAUGCUUCGGCAACGCUGAUAGUGAUCCUAAUCAAACCUCCAAGAAAAACCUCUAAGGCUAGGCUAAAACUGCCCGUACCGUAAACCGACACAGGUAGUCGAGAUGAGUAUUCUAAGGCGCUCGGGUGAGCCGCGGAGAAGGAACUAGGCAAAUUAACGCUGUAACUUCGGGAUAAAGCGUACCGUCUUUGACGGUCUCAGUAAAUUGGUUCAACCAACUGUUUAGCAAAAACACAGGGCCCUGCAAAAUCGUAAGAUGACGUAUAGAGCCUGAUACCUGCCCGGUGCUGGAAGGUUAAGGAAGGAUGUUCAGCGCAAGCCAAAGCUUUCGACUGAAGCCCCAGUAAACGGCGGCCGUAACUAUAACGGUCCUAAGGUAGCGAAAUUCCUUGUCGGGUAAGUUCCGACCUGCACGAAUGGUCUAAUGAGUUGAACACUGUCUCCUCCGCGAGCCCGGUGAAAUUGUAGUAUCGGUGAAGAUGCCGGUUACCCGCCACGGGACGAAAAGACCCCGUGAACCUUCACUACAGCUUUGCAUUGAUUUUGAGUAACAGAUGUGUAGAAUAGUUGGGACGCUACGAAGCCAUGCCGCCAGGUGUGGUGGAGCGGUCGUUGAAAUACCAACCUUCUGUUACUUAGAGUCUAAUCCCGAAAGGGAGACAUUGCAUGGUGGGUAGUUUGACUGGGGUGGUCGCCUCCUAAAAAGUAACGGAGGCUCGCAAAGGUGCCCUCAGCAAGGUUGGUAAUCAUGCGUAGAGCGUAUUAGUAUAAGGGCGCUUGACUGUGAGACUGACAAGUCGAGCAGGUGCGAAAGCAGGCUAAAGUGAUCCGGUGGUUCCGCAUGGAAGGGCCAUCGCUCAAAGGAUAAAAGGUACUCCGGGAUAACAGGCUGAUCUCCCCCAAGAGCUCAUAUCGACGGGGAGGUUUGGCACCUCGAUGUCGGUUCGUCACAUCCUGGGGCUGGAGAAGGUCCCAAGGGUUCGGCUGUUCGCCGAUUAAAGUGGCACGUGAACUGGGUUCAGAACGUCGCAAGACAGUUCGGUCUCUAUCUGUGGUGGGCGUUAGUAAAUUGAGAAGACAUGACCUUAGUACGAGAGGACCGGGUCGUACACACCGCUGGUGUAUCUGUUGUGCCGCCAGGUGCAGUGCAGAGUAGCUAUGUGUGGCAAGGAUAAGCGCCGAAAA